ensembl:lncRNA
CAUGAAUAACCAAACUCCCAGAGAUGAGAUGAGGGUAUUUCUACUGCUUGGACUUGCAGCAGGGAGAAGCAGAUGGUCCUCAUUUCAUCAUGGGCUGCAAUACAUCUAACAGGGUUGCUGCAGCACAGCUGUCUUCUGAGGAGCUACAGAACAACCAUGAAGCCAGAAGCCAGACUCCAAGUGACAGUGCUGACAGAACAUGGGCUGCCACCUCACAGGAGGGGGCAGCUUGGACAAGGGGCACUUCAGAGAACGGAAGCAAACUUGAAGUUGAAGCCAGAGAGGGAGACUUUCCUGAGAGAUCAACAGAAGGAUUUGCACCUUCUGAAAAAAGCAGCAACGCACAAAGCACAGAUACACUGCUCACCAGUGGGUUCAUCAGUAAAUCAUGGCCCUUACAAGAAACAGAGAGACAAAAAUCAUCAGACAUUCUUGAGGAGCUGAGGAUGCAGGGAAUAAUCAGGAGCCAAAGUACUACUGCCAGCACUGAAGAAGCAUAUGAAAAACAAGAGAGAUGCCCUGGAAAAGAUGCUAAAGAAACCACCAGCUAGGCUGGAAAAAAUGUGGUUUGGAAGCAAGGAAGAGAAUGAUUUUACAGCAAAGGACAUGAAGACUGCUGAAGAGAAAAACAAACAGGUUAGGGAAAAGGAACUACGCAGGACACCACAACACACUGCAUCUUAUCCAGCAACGGACCACCAAACUACAGGUAAACAGACUGAAAAGGACUGCCCAAGUUUUCAAAGUCAAGAAAGCACAGGUGCCCCUCAGUCGUCACCUUUACAUGGUGAGAUAAGCGUACCGCUGCAGGAAAUAACUGCAGAAGAAACCACCAAUUAUUACACUGAGGACUUUACCAUUGAGUCUGAUAUAACUUACAACUGUAUCAAUGAAACAAUCUGGAUCUAAGCCAUCCUGCAAAGAAGGAGCCUCUCUGCUCCCUGCUGCUGUUUACCUCGGGGCUUAAGUAGAUGAUUUAUCCUGAGCUGAUGGUUGUGGUUACCUGUUACACCUUGGAAAACUCUAAUUUCACAUUUUUACACACUAGUUGGAGGAAACAAAAUAAAUAAGAAAAGCAAGAGGCAAUUUAGUGACCUGCCAGUCUCUAGGUUGGAGCACAUACAUAUGAACACGGUUUUAUUACAGUUACCUCUAGAAUUCCUUUUUUCUAGAGAGCAGAGAACCAGAGUUUGGAAAGGCAUUGUAACCAUACAGAAAGGCACAUAAGGAGGAGUAUGCAAGGAAGAAAAAAAGCUUGAACAGCUGCAAGAUUUGGGGUAGUAAAACACAGCGGAGACCUAAACAUAAGGACAAAGAGUUUUAACUUACUGUGCAGGCAGAGAUGUGAGAGCUUCAAACAUUAAGGGAACAACAGGCCACAGGAAUGUCAUUGUAUACAGAGCAAGGACAAAUACUGAAACUGCAGUGGAGAAAACAACUAAUUGGUUGAGAUAUGCAAAGCACAGGUGAGUUAUCCAUGUGGCCAGAAAUAACGUGAUUGGUCUCCAUGGGAAGGAGAGCACUGUUUCCAUAACACAGCAAUGAAUUUGGAAUGAACCCAUUCCCUACCUCCUAUACACACGCAACAUCUAAUACAUCCAGCUCCUUCAAAACCAGUGCGUAACAGCAAUGGUUGCACUUGUGCUUUGCCUGUUACCAGCCCUACUAUCCCCUUCUGGCUCAUCUCUAAAUAUGCCUAAUCCUUACUUCCAUACCACACUCACGCCCACCUCCUGUGCUGGCUUUUUUAAUUCCGUACCUCCAACUCCUGAUGACGCAUUCUUCCUUUCUGCCUUCCAAGCCAAGGAAAUUCUGUUCCAGUACUGGACCACUGCUCUCUUCGCCAGGUACUAUAGAAAAGAGAAAAAUGUAGCCUUUAUUUGUACAGUCUCGUUGUGGUUCUCCCUAUUACUCUCGGGAAAUUAAAUAAAUAAACAAAUAAUACUUGCACUAAAACAUCAAAGGUAGGAACAAGAUCUCAUCUCACUACUCAAGCAGCUGGGAUCCCACUUGAGCAGCUGAGUGAGUAAGCUCAUCAGGAAGAGACCAAUGCUUCAGGCCUGGCCAUGUUGGUUUUUAAGAAAAAAAAAAUGGGACACAGUAGCAAAUGGAAAAGCAAAACUGAAAAUUACCCUGUGUUGCCUGGAAAGAACUGUAAAAAUACCGAAGAAAAAGAGAAACAAACUUAGGAAAAAGAAGAACUUUGGUCAGCUGGCUUGAAGUCAUCCAACAGUCUGACAGACGGGAAGCAGGAGAUUGAGGAUGUGUUUUCACCAUGCAGUUAACCAAUGUUGUUCAUCGAAUUUUCUCUCAGAUUCUUUAAGCUAAGGCUGCCUAGCCAGACCUGGAAUAAAAACGUGUGUCUGUGUGUACAUAUAUCAGACUGUUCUACUGAGCUGAUUAGCCUCCUUUUUAAUGAAGGCAAAGAUACUGAAGCACUAGUAGUUGCCCGAAGCCUUCCUGUGGUUUCAGAAGGACGGGACAAACACCCAAUGUCCUUUCUUCCACUAUUUCCCAGGUGAGGAUUUUAUCUCCCUGGAGCACAAAAGGCCUCACGACACACAGAGAGAAGCACAGCAGCAGGCAAGGUGCCUUUCUGUACUGUGACCACCUGUGGGCUCCUGCACGGCUCAGCUGUGUCAGACACACUGCUCUCACUCGUCAACCGCACAGCCUGAGAAGAGCAACAGUAAACACGGCGUGUAUCCGACAACGGCGGGGCUCUUAGCAGGCACAGACACAAGUGAGGUGCACUGCGUCUGCUUUUAAAACACGACGCAGCCCCGUGCCGUUCCCUCGGGCCCUGUCGGUGUGACAGAGAGCAGAGCUCAGCGCUGCCCGCCCGCUCCCCGCGUAGAGCCGCCACGACGCCGCCCCUCAGCCUCCACACAACGAGCCGGCCGCAUCCAGCUCCACGCUCGGCCCUGAUUCUGC